ensembl:lncRNA
CGCGGCGCUGCCUCUAGGAUGCGCUGCGUCACUGCGGGGCUGGGGGCGCUUGUCACGCAGGCAGCCGGCAAAUCAGAGAAGCUGAACUCUGGAGGCCUCCAGUUCUCAUGUGAGAAUGAGGAAUUUGGAUCGGUUGGGUGUUUCCUAAGCCAUGAGCCCUACACAUAGGAUUCUAUGGGCUUUCAGUGAUCCGUGGUUUGCAAGGUUGUCAUCCAUUCUACGAACAGAGUAUCAACAGCGUGUGAACAUGGCAGCACUGAAAUGUGACAUUCAAUCAGAGAAACACUGAGGCCAAGUCCAAGAAAUCCCCCAGCCCUUCCAACAGGUGUUAUAAAAACGUGGCAUCAUCGCAAUGAGGGACAGUUACUUCUUGAGAAGACCUUGAACCUCAUAUUUGGCAAAAUGUUUCUAGGGCCACCAAAUGGAGGACAGAGGACAGAGACAAGUCUGGGUCCUGAAGGAGUCAGUGACCUCAUAGGGAUGGGACACUCCUCCACUUCACAGGUCCACGGUGUUCCUCAACAACACUGACAUGUCCAUGCCUCACAUAUCUAAGAUUCAUUUUCCUUUUCAGCCAUUACAAGUCUUACUGACACCUCAACUAAUGGAUGCUGAUUUUCAAAACAGAUUAGAACAUCGACACUCCUAGAAGUUAAAAUAUUUUCUUCUGGCGCUCCAUUGGAUCAUCCGCAUACUCCACAGGUCCAGGUCUGAAGGACCAGGAAGUCCAGUUCUGUGAACUUUCAAAAUCCCAUGAAAAAGCACACAGAACUCAGUCUCAUCCUGCCGCUGCCCUCUGAAUCGCUGUCUGGGUUUCAUCAGCCUCAGAAAAUUGGAUGGGGGACCAUCAUCGCCUGUUGCCAGUGAGACCAGUGUCCCACCAGACUCCUCACAGAUGACGUUUCCAUGAACUUCCUUAAGUCACCAUCAAGUAGUGUUGGGUGCCUGGGGACACCCAAGUGGAAAUGUCCAGCAGACAUUUGAAUCAUAACCAAAGAAGAUGAAAACCACAGAGGAGUGGUGCAGGUGGAGAGACUGAUUUUUGAAUCAUCGUGGUAACUGAAGUCAUGGAAGUGGACAACAUCAGCCAAGGACGGUGUCAGGAUCAAGUACAAGAAAAACCACACGUAACUUCUGCUUUGAAGCCCAAGGAUGACGUCAGUGAAGUUAGAAGUCCCAUUACACUGGUGUCUCUGCUGCACUCAUGUAAACCUUCUGGUCUGUUUCACACAAACUCUAGCGAGACCAUCUGGCUGCAAGUGGCAGAUACUCAACUCAAACUAGUUUAGGGAAAAACAAAAGGAGCAUGGGCUCAAAGAACCAGGAGAUCCAAGUUAGACUUCAGACAUAACUGCAUCCAGGGUGCUCCAAGGCUUAUUUCUGAUUUGCAACCUUCUCUAAGGAAGCUCCUUCUACAAGGUAGACAAGAUGAGCCCCAGCCAACCCAGCUCACAGCCUCAAAGCUUAGCACUAUCAGUGGAAAGAAUACUGCUUUUUCCAAGUGUACGUACAUUAAUCCUAGAGAAGACAUCGAUUGGCCCUGCCUAGGACUUAUGACCAACCAUAAUUCAAUUGCAGUGGCCAGGAUAAUGGAAACCCGGAUCGGCAGCUCUCAGAAAACUUAAAAUUCUUGAGAUCCACUCUAGACCUGAAUCAGAAUAUCUAAGGAAGAAUCCCAGGUGUUAAUACUUUUUACAAGCUGCUAGAGUGACUCUUAUUGAAGGGGUUCACAGAUCGUGUUUUGAGAAACACUGCAAGCUCCCCAACUGGCUGGGACAGGAUGUUGCCUGAGAAGACCUCAGGUCUGCACCCUGUCAGUCUCGGUGAAGCUGGAAAACGUUCAGGCUUUUGAGUGGACUUGGGCUCAAAUCUGGUGUGG